UGCGGCCCGGAUUAUGUCACCUCUUCCCUCUGCGCCCCGCCCCCCCGGGCCACCCGCGUUGGUGAGGAGCUCCAGGAGGUGCAGGAGGGAUUUCUCCCACCGCAGAGAUCCCCCCGGACACCUCCUCGGGAUGGCCUGUGACUGGGGUCUCUAUCUUUUGGCGCUGCGGGCCGUGGGGGCGAACACCCGCCCCCUGCCACCACCCCCCACUCCCGUGUGGGAGGCUCGUGCGCGCGCGCGUGUGUGAUCGGGGUGUGUGUGGGGGGGGCGCUGUCAGCCCCCUCAGUCCUGAAACACGGGAUUUAUCGGAGCCAGGAUCUAGGGGAUCGGCCCCUUCCCCCUUUGUCGCCAAGAGAAGAUGAAUCUCCCCUCACACAUCCCAACCAAGAAGUUCUGGAGACCUCUGCACCCCCUCCCCCAAAGCCCCAUAGUGCCCCUGAUACCUUUUCUCCCUCAGUCCUUCUUCCUGGAAGCCCAUCCUGAUUUUCCUAUCGGGAUUCAUUGCCUCUUUGCAUUGCUUGUAACUAGCAUUCUCCCACAUGCAUUCUCUCUGCAUCUCCUCCGAAUCAGGGCACAGAGACCCCAAGAUUCUGUGGCUUGUUCCCCUCCUGGGGGCACCCACAGGCCAGCCCCAGAAUGAAAUUUCCCUGGAGUGGCCUGAACCAAGUGCUCCAAGAGCCCUCCCCCUGGGUAGAUCAGGGAUGCUGUCCUGGGAGGCAGUAUUUGGGUUGAUUCUUAAAGGGUGCAGAAUGGGUACAGAGAGCUGCGAAGAGAUUUUGUGUAGUGUGGAGAGGGACUCAAGUCAAGGGAAAUAGGAUGAGCAGCAGGAGAGUCCUUGGGGGCCCUGCUGCAAGCUGUGGUUUUGAGGGCUGAGAGGAAUGCCAGGCAUCUACCCAUAAUACAUUCAAUUCUUAAGAUUCCUGUAAGGUAGGUGUGAGAACUCAAAGUGGAAUAACCUGCAUGCAAUUCCACCCCUAAUCAGUUGAACUGGGAUUUCCACUUGGAGCUGAUACCUCUAUAAGUGUCUAUAUUGCACCUGCUGCAAAAGAAUUUGGGCAAAGCAUGGACAAGAUCGGCCUUGUCCUUUAGAAACAGUCUCUUAGUAGCUGCACAGGGGAGGGAGUGCAGAACAAGAGAGGGCAGUGAGAAGCCCGCAGCAAGGAUGCUGGCAGGAGGGGCUGCUAAGAUCUUUAGGGGGUGAAUGGGCUGAGCUUGUGGCUCUGAGACCCCAGGGGAAGGGUAUAGUGUUACUAGCUUUAGGAGGGACACACAUGUGGAGGGGCUGGUUGGUCACUAUAGGAUGGAAGGACCUGCCCAUCUAACUCCCAGGUAUAGUCUAUUUGCCCCCUUCGUGACCACUAAUACUGUGUGUAAUGUCCCAGGCAGUGAGGGUGGAUAGGACAGAAAUAGAGGCAGACUCAGGCAAUAGGCUGUCAUCC
rnacentral:lncRNA from 1 species